AGUGAACGCUGGCGGUAGGCCUAACACAUGCAAGUCGAACGGCAGCACAGUAAGAGCUUGCUCUUACGGGUGGCGAGUGGCGGACGGGUGAGGAAUACAUCGGAAUCUACUUUUUCGUGGGGGAUAACGUAGGGAAACUUACGCUAAUACCGCAUACGACCUACGGGUGAAAGCAGGGGAUCUUCGGACCUUGCGCGAUUGAAUGAGCCGAUGUCGGAUUAGCUAGUUGGCGGGGUAAAGGCCCACCAAGGCCACGAUCCGUAGCUGGUCUGAGAGGAUGAUCAGCCACACUGGAACUAAGACACGGUCCAGACUCCUACGGGAGGCAGCAGUGGGGAAUAUUGGACAAUGGGCGCAAGCCUGAGCCAGCCAUACCGCGUGGGUGAAGAAGGCCUUCGGGUUGUAAAGCCCUUUUGUUGGGAAAGAAAAGCAGCAGGUUAAUACCCCGCUGUUCUGACGGUACCCAAAGAAUAAACACCGGCUAACUUCGU
rnacentral:rRNA from 1 species